GAAUCUGUGGCACAAUGGUAGUGCGUCUGACAUCAAGUUAGAAGGUUGUGUGUUCAAUUCACACCAGAUUCA